GACGUAGGGCGCGAGCGUUGUCCGGAAUUAUUGGGCGUAAAGAGCUCGUAGGCGGUCUGUCGCGUCGGCUGUGAAAACCCGAGGCUCAACCUCGGGCCUGCAGUCGAUACGGGCAGACUAGAGUGCUGUAGGGGAGACUGGAAUUCCUGGUGUAGCGGUGAAAUGCGCAGAUAUCAGGAGGAACACCGGUGGCGAAGGCGGGUCUCUGGGCAGUAACUGACGCUGAGGAGCGAAAGCGUGGGGAGCAAACAGG
rnacentral:rRNA from 1 species